CCCUUAGAUGUUCUGUGCUGCACGCGCGCUACACUGAAGCGUUCAACGAGUAUUUCACCUUGCCCGGGAGGGUUGGGUAAUCUUUUUAAAACGCUUCGUGAUGGGGAUAGAUUAUUGCAAUUAUUAAUCUUCAACGAGGAAUUCCUAGUAAGCGCGAGUCAUCAGCUCGUGCUGAUUACGUCCCUGCCCUUUGUACACACCGCCCGUCGCUCCUACCGAUUGAAUGGUCCGGUGAAAUCUUCGGAUCUGAGAGAUGUCUGAUUAAUUUCGGACGCCUUUUGGAAAAGUUGCUUAAACCUUACCAUUUAGAGGAAGGUGAAGUCGUAACA
rnacentral:rRNA from 1 species